CACCGCCGUUCGCUGCUACCGAUUGAAUGAUUUCGUGAGGUCUUCGGACUAGCUCUCGAAGCGGCUUUCGGGUCGGGUCGGCGGACCGGACAGAUGACCAAACUUGAUCAUUUAGAGAAAGUAAAAGUCGUAACUAGGGUUUCGUAGGCGAAUCUGGGGAAA
rnacentral:ncRNA from 1 species